rnacentral:lncRNA from 1 species
GAACUUGAGCAAAAGCUAGCAUCUACUGAGAAAGAAGUUUUGCAGCUCAAUGAGUUUCUCAAACAACGAAUAAGCCAAUUUAGUGAAGAGAAGAAGAAAUUAGAGGAGAAGUUGAAAACCAGAGAUAGAUACAUCAGCAGCCUGAAAAAGAAAUGCCAGAAGGAAUCUGAGCAAAACAAAGAGAAGCAGAGGAGAAUUGAGACCUUGGAAAAGUACCUGGCAGACCUUCCAACUCUAGAUGACGUACAGAGUCAGAGUCUACAGG